AGCCUGAUCCAGCCAUGCCGCGUGCAGGAUGAAGGCCCUCGGGUUGUAAACUGCUUUUGUACGGAACGAAAAGCCUCUCUCGAAUAAAGAGGGGUGAUGACGGUACCGUAAGAAUAAGCACCGGCUAACUACGUGCCAGCAGCCGCGGUAAUA
rnacentral:rRNA from 1 species